UACGUAGGCAGCGAGCGUUGUUCGGAGUUACUGGGCGUAAAGGGUGCGUAGGCGGUUGUUUAAGUUUGGUGUGAAAUCUCCCGGCUCAACUGGGAGGGUGCGCCGAAUACUGAAUGACUAGAGUGCGGGAGAGGAUAGUGGAAUUCCUGGUGUAGCGGUGAAAUGCGUAGAUAUCGAGAGGAACACCAGUGGCGAAGGCGAGUCCCUGGACAGGUCCUGACGCUGAGGCACGAAAGCUAGGGGAGCAAACGGG
rnacentral:rRNA from 1 species